GACCGUAGCUGUCUGCAGUGCAGGAAGCCAACUAUUAAGGUGUAACAAGUGUAUUUUGGAGUCCUGCUGUCCCUGUGGAUUGAGCAGGUGAAGCCCUGAGGCACUCUAGGGGUGGAUGGAGAAGCAGCUGGGGGCCUUGGCUGUAAGGACCCCUAAGG
rnacentral:lncRNA from 1 species